CCUACGGGAGGCAGCAGUGGGGGAUAUUGCACAAUGGGGGAAAGCCUGAUGCAGCGACGCCGCGUGAGUGAAGAAGUCUUUCGGUAUGUAAAGCUCUAUCAGCAGGGAAGAAAAUGACAGUACCUGACCACUAAGCCCUUGCCAACUCCGGGCCAGCAGCCACGGUAAUACGGAGGGGGCAAGCGUGAUCCGGAUCUACUGGGUGUAAAGGGAGCGUAGACGGUUAUGUAAGUCUGGAGUGAAAGCCCGGGGCCCAACCCCGGGACUGCUUUGGAAACUGUGUGACUGGAGUACAGUAGAGGCGGGCGGAAUUCCUGGUGUAGCGGUGAAAUGCGUAGAGAUCAGGAGGAAUACUGGCGGCGAAGGCGGCCUGCUGGACUGAAACUGACGUUGAGGUGCGAAAGCGUGGGGAGCAAACAGGAUUAGAUACCCGUGUAGUC
rnacentral:rRNA from 1 species